rnacentral:rRNA from 1 species
UGGGGAAUAUUGGACAAUGGGGGGAACCCUGAUCCAGCCAUGCCGCGUGUGUGAAGAAGGCCUUAUGGUUGUAAAGCACUUUAAGCGAGGAGGAGGGUACUGGUAUUAAUACUACCAGCUACUGGACGUUACUCGCAGAAUAAGCACCGGCUAACUCUGUGCCAGCAGCCGCGGUAAUACAGAGGGUGCAAGCGUUAAUCGGAAUUACUGGGCGUAAAGCGCGCGUAGGUGGUUCGUUAAGUUGAAUGUGAAAGCCCCGGGCUCAACCUGGGAACUGCAUCUAAAACUGGCGAGCUAGAGUAGGGCAGAGGGUGGUGGAAUUUCCUGUGUAGCGGUGAAAUGCGUAGAUAUAGGAAGGAACACCAGUGGCGAAGGCGACCACCUGGGCUCAUACUGACACUGAGGUGCGAAAGCGUGGGGAGCAAACAGG